rnacentral:rRNA from 1 species
UACACAUGCAGUCGAACGGUAGCAGGAAGAAGCUUGCUGCUUUGCUGACGAGUGGCGGACGGGUGAGUAAUGUCUGGGAAACUGCCUGAUGGAGGGGGAUAACUACUGGAAACGGUGGCUAAUACCGCAUAACGUCGCAAGACCAAAGAGGGGGACCUUCGGGCCUCUUGCCAUCAAAUGUGCCCAGAUGGGAUUAGCUUGUUGG